rnacentral:rRNA from 1 species
UGGGGAAUAUUGGACAAUGGGGGGAACCCUGAUCCAGCCAUGCCGCGUGUGUGAAGAAGGUCUUCGGAUUGUAAAGCACUUUAAGUUGGGAAGAAGGAGCGUUGGUUAAUACCUGACGUUUUUGACAUAACCGACAGAAUAAGCACCGGCUAACUUCGUGCCAGCAGCCGCGGUAAUACGAAGGGUGCGAGCGUUAAUCGGAAUUACUGGGCGUAAAGCGCGCGUAGGUGGUUCUUUAAGUUGGAUGUGAAAUCCCCGGGCUCAACCUGGGAACUGCAUCCAAAACUGGGGGGCUAGAGUACGGUAGAGGGUAGUGGAAUUUCCUGUGUAGCGGUGAAAUGCGUAGAUAUAGGAAGGAACACCAGUGGCGAAGGCGACUACCUGGACUGAUACUGACACUGAGGUGCGAAAGCGUGGGGAGCAAACA